AGCUUGCACUCAUUCUGGAACACUGGCUUAACUGUAGUUUUCUUUCUCUGUGAAAGUAUUCCUGAAACCAACAGAUAGGAACAAUUGCUUUCUUUGAUGUGGGCCUCUCUUCUAUAUCAAUUUGACCUCAGAGCAGAUGAUCCUCACCACCAGCCAAUCUGAAUUCUUCCAUAAAGACAUGUAUGUACUCUCCAGAGCAGAAAUGACACCAUCCACUGGAUAUCGCGGGCACACAUGUGGCAAAUUAAGUCACACAUUGAGAAGUCACCCUGUCACGGUGGUGAGAAGUUCAGACUCAGGAGUCAUGCCAAGCUAAGUCUGAAUCACUACACUCAAGAGUCUCCAUUUUCUCACCUGGAGAAACAGCACUUACCACCUAAGACAGCAGUAAGGCCUGAGUUAGAUGACAAUGGGAGUCCUAGUGCCAGAGCCUCUGAGAUUUCUAACAUCUACAAAGAUUCUGGAGACGUGGAAAAAAAAAUUCUUGGGAGAGAAAAUUGUAAAAUUAGUAAAUAUUUAAUUAAAUACUUAAAACAUA